AUGGCACUUUCAGGUACGGGAGCAGAUGGACUGUGCACAAGCAAGGUUGCAACUUUCUCACUUGCAGGAAGCAAAAGGAUGGGGGAAAACGUGAGAAAUAGGUAUAAGAGUUCUGCCAAAAUAGCUCUCAUGACUGCUGAGCGCAAAGGAGCUCCAGGAGUCAACGAGCAACUUGGGGUACAUCUAAGACACGACGCUUUGCUCGUCCAGUCUUCUUCUCUGCAGCACGCCUCCUCCUCCUGUCUCAUCGCCGUCUGCGCGGAUUCUCUCCCGACACCAAUCAGAAGUAAUCAGAUCAGAAGCAGCGUUGGAAUCGAAAACAGACUCGACGGAGGAAUUUUUCACUUGCCUGAGGAAAAUAAAAAGCCUCUCUUGGCUAUCCAGCACCCUUCCUGGCUGGCGGCACAGGGGAGGACGCAGAGUUGCCAUCCCCAGAGUCAUUCCCAAAGGGCGUAUAAAGGUGAGGAGAAGCGACCCUACAGGCUAUGGGGACAGAAACCUUGA
rnacentral:lncRNA from 1 species